rnacentral:rRNA from 1 species
UGAAUACGAGAUGCUACGGCGUCGAAGCAGUCUAUGUCAUACUUCCAAGAAAAGCUCGCACUGUCAUAAACAAAUAAUGCCUGUACCAUAACCGACACAGGUGGGUAGGUAGAGUAUACUAAGGGGCGCGAGAUAACUCUCUCUAAGGAACUCGGCAAAAUGACUCCGUAACUUCGGGAGAAGGAGUGCCUUAUUUAUAAGGCUGCAAUAACAAGAUCCAAGCAACUGUUUAUCAAAAACACAGGUCUCCGCUAAGUCGUAAGACGAUGUAUGGGGGCUGACGCCUGCCCAGUGCCAGAAGGUUAAAGAAGUUGGUUAGCAUUCGCGAAGCUGAUAACUGAAGCCCUGGUGAACGGCGGCCGUAACAAUAACGGUCCUAAGGUAGCGAAAUUCCUUGUCGGGUAAGUUCCGACCCGCACGAAAGGCGUAAUGAUUUGGAUACUGUCUCGGAGAGGGGCUCGGUGAAAUAGACUUGUCUGUGAAGAUGCGGACUACCUGCACCAGGACAGAAAGACCCUAUGAAGCUUUACUGUAACUUGAGAUUGAAAUUGGACUUUACUUGCGCAGUAUAGGUGGGAGGCGUUGAUAAUAUUCUUGCGGGAUUAUUUGAGCCAUCAGUGAGAUACCACUCUUGUAAUGUUAGAUUUCUAACUUUGUAUCAUUAUCUGGUCAAAGGACAGUUUCAGGCGGGCAGUUUGACUGGGGCGGUCGCCUCCUAAACGGUAACGGAGGCGCACAAAGGUUUCCUCUGAACGGGUAGAAAUCGUAUCUAGAGUGUAAAGGCAUAAGGAAGCUUGACUGUGAGACCUACAAGUCGAGCAGGGACGAAAGUCGGUCUUAGUGAUCUGACGGUGCUAAGUGGAAAGGCCGUCACUCAACGGAUAAAAGUUACUCUAAGGAUAACAGGCUGAUCUCCCCCAAGAGUUCACAUCGACGGGGAGGUUUGGCACCUCGAUGUCGGCUCAUCGCAUCCGGGGGCGGUAGUACGUCCCAAGGGUUGGGCUGUUCGCCCAUGAAAGCGGUACGCGAGCUGGGUUCAGAACGUCGUGAGACAGUUCGGUCCAUAUCCGGUGUAGGCGUUAGAAUAUUGAGAGGAGCCUUCUUUAGUACGAGAGGACCGAGAAGGACAUACCUCUGGUGUACCAGUUAUCGUGCCAACGGUAAACGCUGGGUAGCUAUGUAUGGAGUGGAUAACCGCUGAAAGCAUCUAAGUGGGAAGCCCACCUCAAGAUAAG